rnacentral:rRNA from 1 species
CAGCAGCCGCCGCGGGAAUACGUAGGUGGCAAGCGUUGUCCGGAAUUAUUGGGCGUAAAGGGCUCGCAGGCGGUUUCUUAAGUCUGAUGUGAAAGCCCCCGGCUCAACCGGGGAGGGUCAUUGGAAACUGGGAAACUUGAGUGCAGAAGAGGAGAGUGGAAUUCCACGUGUAGCGGUGAAAUGCGUAGAGAUGUGGAGGAACACCAGUGGCGAAGGCGACUCUCUGGUCUGUAACUGACGCUGAGGAGCGAAAGCGUGGGGAGCGAACAGGAUUAGAUACCCGCGUAGUCCCUGUCUCUUAUAC